rnacentral:rRNA from 1 species
AGUGAACGCUGGCGGUAGGCCUAACACAUGCAAGUAGAACGGCAGCACAGUAAGAGCUUGCUCUUACGGGUGGCGAGUGGCGGACGGGUGAGGAAUACAUCGGAAUCUACUUUUUCGUGGGGGAUAACGUAGGGAAACUUACGCUAAUACCGCAUACGACCUACGGGUGAAAGCAGGGGAUCUUCGGACCUUGCGCGAUUGAAUGAGCCGAUGUCGGAUUAGCUAGUUGGCGGGGUAAAGGCCCACCAAGGCGACGAUCCGUAGCUGGUCUGAGAGGAUGAUCAGCCACACUGGAACUGAGACACGGUCCAGGCUCCUACGGGAGGCAGCAGUGGGGAAUAUUGGACAAUGGGCGCAAGCCUGAUCCAGCCAUACCGCGUGGGUGAAGAAGGCCUUCGGGUUGUAAAGCCCUUUUGUUGGGAAAGAAAAGCAGCAGGUUAAUACCCCGCUGUUCUGACGGUACCCAAAGAAUAAGCACCGGCUAACUUCGUG